rnacentral:rRNA from 1 species
AAAGGAAUAGACGGGGACCCGCACAAGCGGUGGAGCAUGUGGAUUAAUUCGAAGCAACGCGAAGAACCUUACCAAGGCUUGACAUCCCCCCGGAUGCGCGCGAGAGCGCGCAGGCCCUCCGGGGACGGGGGAGACAGGUGGUGCAUGGUUGUCGUCAGCUCGUGUCGUGAGAUGUUGGGUUAAGUCCCGCAACGAGCGCAACCCCUAUCCUUAGUAGCCAGCGGGUCGAGCCGGGCACUUUAGGGAGACUGCCGCGGAUAACGCGGAGGAAGGUGGGGACGAUGUCAAAUCAUCAUGCCCCUUAUGUCUUGGGCGUCACACGUGCUACAAUGGCUUCAACAGAGUGAGGCGAGGCCGCGAGGCGGAGCAAACCACGAAAAGGAGUCCCAGUUCGGAUUGCAGUCUGCAACCCGACUGCAUGAAGUUGGAAUCGCUAGUAAUCGCGGAUCAGCACGCCGCGGUGAAUACGUUCCCGGGUCUUGUACACACCGCCCGU